rnacentral:rRNA from 1 species
CACGGGGGGAGCGAACGUUGUUCGGAAUCACUGGGCGUAAAGGGCGUGUAGGCGGUUCGGUAAGUGGAAUGUGAAAUCCCCCGGCUUACCCGGGGAACUGCAUCCCAUACUGCUGGACUUGAGUGCGGGAGAGGAUGGAGAAUUCCUGGUGUAGCGGUGAAAUGCGCAGAUAUCAGGAGGAACACCGGUGGCGAAGGCGGAUCUCUGGGCCGUAACUGACGCUGAGGAGCGAAAGCAUGGGGAGCGAACAGG